rnacentral:lncRNA from 13 species
GCCCAAGCUCUCUCACUCAAUCCCAGCACAUCUCUGAGCUCAGGACUCCCAUCUCUUCCAGGCACAGGAGGGAAAGUCUGGGAAGGGCCUUGGGAUGGGGCAGCAGUGAAGGCAAUCCCGAGAAGCCGAGCGUCUGGCGUGUCCACUAUGGAAGAGUCUGAACCAUCGGCUGGUACUGAGAAGUCCUGCAGGGGUAGAGGUCCUGACCAGCUUAAAGAAGGCUUGACCGGAGCCCCGUUGGCAGCUCCCACACUAUGAGGAAGCCCGGGCCACAUGGAGAGGACACAGCCCUCGUUCCAGCCGACAGCCCAGCUGUGUCUCAGCUGCCAGACAGAAGAGUUCAGUGUGCUGGCAUGGAAGUGGAACCCGGAAGAUGUGUUACCUCAUCCCCUUCAAAGAAGCUUGGUUCUCAGGGCUCAGCAUAAGACAUCUCAUGGGAAUUGAGAAGGGGCUCCUUGUCUGAGACCAGAUGACAAGGAGAAGAUGUUAAUAUGGGGAAGUCCCCAGGGUGGGGUAGAUGACAGCAGGAUGACACCUGCCUGGGACUUUCCCACCAGCUCUGCCCAAGGUCACUGCACACUUGAGCUGAGCUGCUGAGGCACUCUGAGCCGGCUGAGGGUGUCUGUGCCUCCCCA